GAUGAACGCUGGCGGCGUGCCUAAUACAUGCAAGUCGAGCGAACAGACGAGGAGCUUGCUCCUCUGACGUUAGCGGCGGACGGGUGAGUAACACGUGGAUAACCUACCUAUAAGACUGGGAUAACUUCGGGAACCCGGAGCUAAUACCGGAUAAUAUAUUGAACCGCAUGGUUCAAUAGUGAAAGACGGUUUUGCUGUCACUUAUAGAUGGAUCCGCGCCGCAUUAGCUAGUUGGUAAGGUAACGGCUUACCAAGGCAACGAUGCGUAGCCGACCUGAGAGGGUGAUCGGCCACACUGGAACUGAGACACGGUCCAGACUCCUACGGGAGGCAGCAGUAGGGAAUCUUCCGCAAUGGGCGAAAGCCUGACGGAGCAACGCCGCGUGAGUGAUGAAGGUCUUCGGAUCUUAAAACUCUGUUAUUAGGGAAGAACAAAUGUGUAAGUAACUAUGCACGUCUUGACGGUACCUAAUCAGAAAGCCACGGCUAACUACGUG
rnacentral:rRNA from 1 species